CAAAAUCUGUGUGCAGGGCCUGCAAUAUCAGCAGUGGAUAGGCUGAAUAACAGAGAAUGCUAACUCUGUCUUACAGGCUUAUCAUCAUAAAGAAGAUGUUUUGAGGAAAUUAGUGAAAUGUACUUCUCAUUUUCUGAUUCUGGAAAGAGAGAAGCCAGUCUUGGGAAAGAUGAAAGACCAAGGAAGGUUCACCAUCCAUGCUACGGCUCCUGGAGAUCAGGAUUUGCAGGCCAAGCAGCCUAGCACCUGGUAACCCAGUGUUUCAGACCAAGACUUGGAGAUGGAACCCAGCAAGCUAUAAGUGAGAUUGAGUGUGGAUGUGGUUAGUUAUCUGGUAGAGAAAGACCCAUCACCAAAACAAGACAUCUGCCCAUUCAAAAUGAAGGUGAAGGAUUGACCCCCACCCAGUUUUCCUAGGCCCACACAGGCAUCAGGCAAAACCCCAGGUGUGAGCUGACCUGCUUUGAUGUGCAGGCAGGGCA